AAACCCCAACGCCAAGGAUAAAAAAUAAUGUAACUAGCGGUUCGACCGCUCGACCCUUGACCGGCCUUGGUAUCUCAAAGAAGGUCCAGUGCCCUAAACAAGUUACGAUCUUUGUAACGUUGGGUUCUCUGUUCGUUUAACGAGUUGGACUCACCGGAAAACAGAGAGAAGAAGAAGAAACGGCGAGGAAUGGCGGGAGAAGAGGCCGGCUCGAAAGUCGUUCGUCUCGUCGCUUUCUUAGGCGCCGGAGUAAUUUGCACUGCUGCAAUCAACAUGUGGAGAGAUCUAGAGCGGAAGUCCCUUCUGAAAACGACACAAGCCUCUGAAAAGGCUUCAAAUGUGGUAAAUAAAGCUCUCGAUUCUUAGAUAGGGUUUCUUUAACUCAUGGAUCCGGUCGAUUGCUGUAAUAAUACUGAGUAUGAGUAUUUUUGUUUCUAUGUUCCACUUUAUUUUCUGAUUAAAUCGAAUUCUUAUGGAAGAUGCAUCCAAUUUUGAAGUUUUCAAUGCUGUUUAUCAUCUUAUCGCAAAAUUUUAGAUAACUUUUGGCCAUUCCAAGGUCCUGUAGUAAUGCAGAGAUGGGGAACGAAAAGAAGGAAAGAGGAGUAGUAAUUUGUGUGUCCUGUAAAACUGUUGUAAUUCAUCUUCGUUUGUAUAGCCUUUUAUAAAAUGGAAUUGCUUUUGGCCUCUCUCAA